GGACGGAAAAGAAAAGAAAAGUGAUGAUUUAUGGAUAUAUACUUUACACAUAAUCCAGCAGAAAAUACAACGGAAUGCGUUGUACUGGGGGACAGAGGUACACGUUGUGGCUACAAACUACGUGGCAAGAAUACGACCAACCUCAAGAGGCAUUUGAAAGCUCACCAUGCUGCUAUUUUUGCGACGGAAAAGAUGGCUCGUGGCAGCACCACAGGCGCUAUGCCUCAUAGUUCAGCAGAGGCAGAGACAUCCAUUGUGAAGAAAGGAAAUAAGUCAUCGGGCAGCUUCUUUAAGAGCAGCCCUGCGCCCCCUGCUUCAUCCUCUGUGCAGCUGGAGGAUGCCAUGGAAGCUGAGCUGAACAGCUAGCUGAUGACUCAUCGGUAGAGAGGAAGAUCCCCUGGCCUGGAGGAAGGCAGAAUCCCAUCCAGGACCUACAUGUGUGUUCAUCAAACAGAAUCAAUAAGAUACAGCUGAAAAUAGCAGCUUCUGUCUUUGCCGAAGAUCCCGCUGACAAUCCUCCACUAUCCUCUACAUUCUGACAAAGGAAAUACUGAAAAGAGGGAAAACAACAAAUAUUUGUCGUGGAGGGAGAAGGUUGGAAGAGAGCGUAGCCCCGGGUCA